rnacentral:rRNA from 1 species
GACAGAGGGUGCAAACGUUGUUCGGAAUUACUGGCGUAAAGCGAGUGUAGGCGGUUUGGAAAGUCGGAUGUGAAAGCCCCGGGCUCAACCCGGGAAGUGCACCUCGAUACUCCCAAGCUAGAGUAUCGGAGAGGUUGGCGGAAUUCGCGGUGUAGAGGUGAAAUUCGUAGAUAGUCGGGAGGAACACCAGUGGCGAAGGCGGCUAUCGUGGCUGCAACUGACGCUGAGGCGCGAAGGCUAGGGUAGCAAACAGG